GACAGAGGGGGCAAGCGUUGCUCGGAAUUACUGGGCGUAAAGGGCGCGUAGGCGGGUGGUCAAGUCAGGGGUGAAAUGCUUCCGCUCAACGGGAGAACAGCUUUUGAUACUGGCCAUCUUGAGGGGGGUAGGGGCAUGUGGAACUUCCGGUGGAGCGGUGAAAUGCGUAGAUAUCGGAAGGAACGCCGGUGGCGAAAGCACUCUGCUGGGCCGACACUGACACUGAGAGACGAAAGCUAGGGGAGCGAAUGGG
rnacentral:rRNA from 1 species